rnacentral:sRNA from 1 species
AUACAUCUCUAAAUCUGAACCCGCGCUCU